GUCUCUGAUGAAAGUCAUCCAGAUAUCAUUACUGCAGUCCCGCCAUGUGACCUGCUGGAGAACAUCUUAACUGGAUGUGGGUCUGGAGUUUGCUGGAAGGCACAGUGAGGUUGCGAAGAGGAGCCGUUAAGGGAUGGCCAAAGAGGGUGGGGAGUGGUGUCCAGCAGCAUUGCCGCAGUGGUGGAGCAGGAGCAGAGGCUGGAGCAUCUCGUGGAGAAGGUCUGGGGGUGUGAGGACAUUUUAAUCCACCACUGUCAUCAGUAUCAGUGCAGCCUGUGCGAGUCUGUCUGUGUGUGUGUGUGUGUGUGUGUGUGUGUGUGUGUGUGUGUGUAGCGCUGCGCUGCGCGUCCCUGUGCUGUUCACGCUGAGUUCUGGAGUGGGUCCAGGGCCUGGUAUUUAUAAACUCGCUGUCGGAGCCCCGGCUGUAGUCGGAGCGUGGGAACGUGGUAAAGGAUUUCUGUGGUAUUUUUAAUGUUUGUUAUUAAAUAUUCCCACACGGGACCGUGACCAAACCCCCGGCCCCCGCCCUCGUCUCCAGCUUCGGGAUCCGCCAGCAGCGCAACUUGCCAAGGGGAGGGGUUCCCUGUCUCCAGAGGGAGGGAGUCCCUAGCGUUGCCCUCGGCGCAGGAGGCAAGAGGAGACCAGAGGAGACCCGCCCUUUGGAUGUCCACUCUUUUGGCUCGGUCGCUUGAGACAUGCUGCUGGACUCAUUUCGCUAAACGACGAUUUGAUCAUUUCAUGCCUGGAUGCUGUCCUGAGCAACCUCAUGCUUGAGGUGUGAUGCUGACAGGCUGCAGGAAGCCUGAAGUGGAGCAGCACACUUGGCCUUGGACUAUUGUCUCUUCUCUGUUUCAUCUCUCUCACUCAUCCUCACAUGUCCAGCUCGGUUGUUUAUGCUCAUAUUAAUCGUUGCAGUUGCAUAUUGUAUAUAAAGGGUUAGGUGUGCCCCGUAAGUCUGGAAUCAAAGAGAAAACAUUGACUUCUUCUUUUAGUUCUGCAGGUCCGUAAUGUCCAC
rnacentral:lncRNA from 1 species